rnacentral:misc_RNA from 1 species
ACGCACAAACAAUAUCCAUUGAAACUAAGCAAGAGCAUACGCAUUUAUUUCUCGUAUCAUAUUCUGUUUUCUUCUCUGUUAUCUUCACCGACUUCUGUUUUUUUUUUUGCGUUUUCCAAGUUUCCUCGCACUACUUCACGCUUCCUCCUCCACCUUCUCUCUCUCCCCCCCACCACUCGUUGGCUUUACGCCUUGUGCUGGAGGGCGAAUCAGCUGCACCACGCAGACGCUUACAGAUAUUAUUGCUUGAUAUAUGUAGGGCACCGCUGCCGCUCUCUGCCUCAUUGCCCUCUCUCGACAAAGAAAAUGCUCAUAAUCCGCUUUGUUCUGCUGGUGCUGAUCCUCGUGUUCUUCGUCAUUGCUCUCGUUGGCACGGUAUCCCUGCCCCUGUACUCGAACAGGAUCACGAGCUACAACCAGGAUGGAAAGGUGGAGGUGUCGCUGUGGAACAUUGUGGUGGGCAAGGUGACGGUGACGGGCGAGAACUCGACAAAUGUGCCGACCUCUAUGCCGGUCCGCAUCAACUAUGCCGGCUGCGAAGAGUUUCGCGCUACGUUCCGCGCCAUGCAAGCCUUCGCGAUUGGCGGCACUGUCUUUGGCUUCUACGCGCUGCUCGUGUCCUGCUUGCAGUGUUUCUGCCGCCUGAAGGUCAAGCUGCCGCUGUUUCUCUUCCUCUUCCUGGCCAUGCUUUGCGAGCUGUGCGUCGUCUUCAUUGGCGGCGCAGCGUACAGCAAGGAGUUCUGCAAGAACCUAGACAAGAACGGCAACCUCACCACCGUCAUCUUCAAGGGCGCGGGCUACAAGCUCGACACCGCCUUCAUUCUUCAGGUGGUGGCACUGGUGGGGUAUGCGAUUUGCACCAUCAUCACCCCCUUCACCCAACAGCUCUGGUGCGGCAAGUCCUAAGCGCUUCAACCGCGUGCUAUGGCGUAGGUGAAGCCGUCAAGGUGGGUGAGCAAGAUGGGAACACUAACGAAAAUCUUCAGCGAAGGAAAGUCGAUGACGGAUGAGGGGGAGGGGACGGAGCAGAAAAGAACUAGUGGAUCUUCACGGCUACACAUGCUUGUUGCAUGUGUCUUUUGCCUGUCCUUGCCUUGUCACCAUUGAAGCCCACUUCCUCGGCGUGCUGUUCCUACCCCCCCACCACCACCACCACCUCAAGAGAGCCGCCCUCGUUGCAGACUUUCUGGCGCUCUUCUGUUUUGCAUCUCUAAAGCACUGUCUUAUACUUUGAGUACAGAGCAAGAAACGUUUCCGCCGUAUAAUACCUCUGUAUGUGCCCCUGAAACACAGAUACAGACCGGAAAAGGGGGCCGUCGCAUCACACUCGGGCGUGUACUCUCUGGCAGCAGCACCUUUUUUUUUUGGUGCUGCUUCCGUCCUCGUUCGUGUAUGUGUGUGGUUGGGCGGGUGUUGGCGCGAGUAUUUGCGGCCCUUUUCGUCUUGCCUUUUUUGUGUUACUUGCUCGUUUGCAUUCACUUUUCUGCGGAUUUUUCAAGCGUGGAUAUGCCCGCCCCCUUCUCGCCCCUCUUCUCCUGUGAUGGCUGCUUGCUCUCUUCCAUCUCGACGCUUGCAUGCCUGCGUGCAGGUAUGCGCCCCUUGUACUGUCACGUCACACAAAACGGUGCCUUCUAGCACGCGCACGCGCACAUAGGCAAUCAUGAGAGAGGCGGCCCAGACUCACCGGCGAGCAGUCCCAUCGGGUAUACCAAGGGGCGUCUCUCUCUGCUCUUCCUCUCUCGCUUUCUUUCACACAUCCGGACGCGCAGUCAUGUUGGGGGCGCAACGGCGUCGUUCAGCGUCAUUAAUGGACUAGCUUUCCCUCUUCUUCCCCCUUCAUUGGGCUUCUUCUACUGCUUUGCUAUUUCUUGUUCUUUGUGCCGUCUCUUUAUUCUUCUGCUCCCCAGGGCGUCGUUUUUUUUUUCAUCUAUUCAGCUCUGGCCUUGUGUAUCCAUGUGCCCGGGUCAUGACUGCAUUUAUAAGCAUUGCGUGUGUGCUUGUGUGUGUGUGUGUCUGUGUGUAGGCCAUUCCCCAUGUUUCUUGUGUGUUCCUGAAUGGCCUGUUUCUCUUUUCUUUUUCUUUCAUGUGGCCCAUAUGUGUCUGGCGUCUGCGCUGGGGCACCGCAAGUGCCCAUUGGGUAAAGAGUGCUGGUGCGUUUGCAUACGUGUGUACACCGGGUAUCUGCGUUGCGUCGCGCAUAGUUGCACACUACCUCAUGUGUGAAGUUUUCUUUCCUUCUGUGAUGACUCGGUCGUGCUUCUUCUUUUUGUGAAGACGAGGGAGGAGGGAGAAGUGAGGAUGGGGCGUUGCUCCCUCUUCUGUCUCCGUCGCUCUGUUUCGCUCUUUUUUGUGUUUUUAUUUUAUUUUAUUAUUAUUAUUGUAUGUGCCAAAGGGGUUUUGCGGAUGCAGAUCUGUUGUUUUUUUUUGUUUUUUUUUUUUUUUGGUCCGACAAACAAUGAACAUGAGGCACGCGGAGAGCGGCGUAGACAAGCACUUCAAAGAUGGUCGCUCACACACUCGCUCCCUUUCUAGCCUACUUGGGCCUCUGUGUCUUUGCUGUGUGCCACAUAUGUUUUGUGCGAGUUUAUGUAUGUUAUUGUGUUUUGUUUCGUACGGUUUAUGUGUUUGGGUUGCUUCCUGUGCACGUGAGUUCCCCUUCCCUCCAUACUUUUUUUUCGUCUCCUUCGGUCUUUCUCUUGCUGAUUUCGUCAUGCCGCUUUUCUCGGUAAUGAGUUUUCACUUGAGGUGGGGUGUGGAGGGAGGGGGUCUAUCCGGUUGCACUCCACGGCCCUCCUCGCUACCGGCACCAUCAUCACUCGCCUGUCCAAAUGUUCUCAGGCCUCUUCUCUCCGGUGUCCUUCCUUGUCUACCCUCCGCCGUUCCAGGCGUGCGCCGCACGGAUGCGGUCCCCGCAAACAAAAAAUCUCACGGCAUCCACCCUAGCGCCGGCGGAGAGGCAGACGCGGCAGCAGAUGAUCGGUGGGGAUGAACAAGAAGGCGGCAGAAAAGGGGAAAGCUAGCUGCCCCUUUGCAUUAUGGUGCAGCGCGUCGACUGCGUCGUCGACAACGAUGCCUCACUCUUUCGCGCUCUUGGCCUCUUUGACUGCAGCCGCAUCUGCAUGAACGCGCACAUAGCAUUCAUCGGUGUAUCGCUUUUUCUUUUUUUUCGGCGCGUCUUUUUUUUUUGCUUUUCACUAUUUGAAG